rnacentral:tRNA from 1 species
GGCCCUGUAGCUCAGUCGGAUAGAGCAGCGGUUUCCUAAACCGAAGGUCGGGGGUUCGAGUCCCUCCAGGGCCA